GCGUUGGCUUGGAUGGAUGGCAAUCCAGUCGCUGCUGUCCUGUCAUGGUGCUGUGCCUGAGUAAACUAGCCCAAACCAGUGGCUGGCCUUCUUGCCCUAUGCUGUGGACACUGAAUCAGGUUGCGCCCCG
rnacentral:snoRNA from 1 species